rnacentral:lncRNA from 1 species
UUUGUUCUAUUUUUGUUGCUACGGAAAUAAUAACCAAAUAUGAGAUAGAAGAAGAUGAAUUUUCCCUCACACCUCCUAAUUGCUCAAUUCACCCUUUUGAGACUCCCUUCUUUGGGCCUAGAAUAUUUUCCUUGCUACACCCCCAAUUUUUAGCCUAUUUUUGUCCUUUGUAUAUAUAUUUUAUUUAUUAUUUUAUUAUUAUUGUUUUAUUUUAUUUUUUUGUUAUGUUUUUUCCUUUAGUUUUUUUUAUUAUUUUACCUCUUGCAUUGAUAGUGUGCCCCCUCCCUUUUAUUAUUUCUUUUACCUUUUUUUAUUGCUUUAUUUUUUAGUUUAUUUUAUUGUAUUUUUAGUUCAUGCAUAAUUGUUAAUCCAAAAAGAAAAAAUGACCAUUAAAACUAACCAUUCAAAAAUACUAAGAUAAAAUGUAUUUGAUCAACAUCAAAUACAUUUUUCAAAAUUCCACUAAGUUUUUUUCUUUAAUGAGCAUCUCAUAUCAUUUCAAACCAUUUCACAAACCAUUUU